UGAUUCCCAGAAGACUGAAGUGAGAAGAACACUUCUGCCAUUGUUAUGUUCAAGAAAACCUUAUGUCAACUUCACAAGCACUUGAUUUGUACUUCGCCACCACACUUCAAAUCAGUACACACCAACUCCGUAAAUGUGUUUAAACCAUUUGUGAACUUUCCAAGCACCGAAAUAGCCUUACCACCCGACUGGUACGUGCCAAUCUUGCAAGCUUGUUGUGACCAUGCUCUUGUUCGCCAAGGCAAGCAAGUUCAUGCUCAGUUGGUUGUUAAUGGCGCUGGACUCAGCACCAAAAACAAUCUUCUGGGUACUAAGCUUUUGGCCAUGUAUGUUCUUUGUGGAAGCUUUUUACAUGCCAAGAAUGUGCUUCGUUACCUCGAGUUGGGUCUUGCCUCACCUUGGAAUUGGAUGAUUAGAGGGUUUACUAUGAUGGGUUUGUUUAAUUAUGCUUUGAGGUUUUAUUUUAAGAUGUUGGGUUGUGGGACUUCGCCUGAUAAGUAUACUUUUCCUCCCGUGAUUAAAGCUUGUGGUGGUUUGAACAAUGUAAGUUUAGCAAAAUAUGUUCAUGAGAGAGUUAGAUUGAUGGGUUUGGAGGUAGAUGUGUUUGUUGGGAGUUCUUUGAUUAAGUUAUACGCUGAAAAUGGUUGUAUUUAUGAGGCUAGGGAACUGUUUGAUAAAAUGCCUCAAAGAGAUAGUGUGUUAUGGAAUGUCAUGAUUAAUGGUUAUGUGAGAAAUGGAGAUAGAAAAAAUUGUGUUGAAAUUUUCUUGAAAAUGAGAGAGAGUGAUAUGAAACCCAAUUCGGUCACUUAUGCUUGUGUUUUGUCUGUUUGUGCAUCAGAAGAGUUAAUUUGGUUUGGUACUCAGCUUCAUGGGCUUGUUUUUUCAAGUGGAUUGGAAUUGGAUUCUCCUGUUGCUAACACAUUGAUGGCUAUGUAUUCAAAAUGCCAACGCUUGUCUGAUGCUUCUAAACUGUUUAACUUGCUGCCACAAACUGAUCUAGUGAGUUGGAAUGGAAUGAUAUCUGGUUAUGUACAGAAUGGAUUCAUGAUUGAGGCUUCAAAUUGUUUUCGCAACAUGAUAUCUGCUCGUAUUGAACCUGACUCAAUUACGUUUGCAAGUUUUCUUCCAUCUGUAACUGAGUUUGCUAGUCUUAAACAAGGUAAGGAAAUUCAUUGCUAUAUAAUAAGACACGGUGUGCCAAUAGAUGUGUUCUUGAAAGGUGCGCUUAUUGAUUUAUACUUCAAGUGCAGAAAUGUGGAGAUGGCUUGCAAGAUUCUUGAUCAAAGUAAUGCAGUGGAUGUCAUUGUUUUCACAUCAAUGAUUUCAGGGUUUGUGCUUAAUGGGAUGAAUUCUAAUGCUUUGGAGAUUUUCAGACGGUUACUUCAAGUGAAAAUGAGACCGAAUUCUGUAACUUUGGCAAGUAUUUUUCCUGCUUUUGCUGGUAUGGCUGCUCUGAAAUUGGGAGGGGAAUUGCAUGGUAACACCAUAAAAAAUGGGCUUGACAAGUGGUUCUAUGUGGGAAGUGCAAUCACUGACAUGUAUGCAAAAUGUGGAAGAUUGGAUCUUGCCCGUCAAGUAUUUCAAAAAAUUUCUGCAAAGGAUGCUGUUUGUUGGAACUCAAUGAUUACCAGUUGUUCUCAGAAUGGAAAACCAGAGGAGGCUAUUGAUCUAUUUCGUCAAAUGGGGUUAGAAGGAGCCAAGUAUGAUUGCGUGAGUAUAUCAGCUGCCCUUUCCAGUUGUGCAAACUUACCAGCUCUCCAUUAUGGGAAAGAGAUCCACGGUUUCAUGAUUAGAAGAGCAUUCAGCUCUGAUAUUUUCUCUGGAAGUGCUCUGAUAGACAUGUAUGCCAAAUGUGGAAACUUGGAUGUUGCUCGCCAGGUAUUUAACCAUAUGGAAGGCAAGAAUGAAGUGUCCUGGAACAGCAUAAUUGCUGCUUAUGGGAACCAUGGUCACCUUGAGGAGUCCCUCACUCUAUUUCAUGAGAUGUUACAGAAAGGAAUCCUGCCUGAUCAUGUCACGUUCCUCGGUAUAAUUUCUGCUUGUGGCCAUGUAGGUCGAGUCGACGAUGGGAUUCACUUUUUUCGUCUAAUGACUGAGAGUUAUCAGAUACCUGCCAGAAUGGAGCAUUAUGCAUGCAUGGUAGAUUUGUUUGGCCGUGCUGGACGGUUAACCGAAGCAUUUAAGACAAUAAAAAACAUGCCUUUUUCACCCGACGCAGGUGUUUGGGGCACGUUGCUUGGAGCUUGCCGAGUCCAUGGCAAUGUUGAACUUGCUGAAGAGGCGUCAAAACAUCUUCUUGAAUUGGACCCACAUAACUCCGGCUACUAUAUAUUACUUUCCAACAUACAUGCUGAUGCUGGAGACUGGAGAAGUGUGCUUAAGAUACGUAGUUUGAUGAAAGAAAGAGGCGUACAGAAGGUACCUGGGUAUAGCUGGAUUGAUAUCAACAACAUAACCCAUAUGUUUGUUGCAGCAGAUGGAAGUCAUCCUGAUUCAGCUGAGAUAUAUUCAUUGCUUAAUAACCUUCUUCAAGAGCUGAGGAGAGAGGGUUAUGUUCCUCAACUUUACCUCCCAAUGCAUCCACAGAUAUUAGGAAUAUGAAUCUUUGAAGAACAGUUUCACCAUCUUUAGCCUUCUGGCUGUUCCUCUUCAUUGAAUGUUGAUGUUAACAGAACCUCAAGGAGCUACAUAAGCUACCAAUUAGCUGUCCUGUGGAGACAUUCUUACCAAUCAUUAUUGGUAAAGGCAAUAGUGCAUCAUUAUUAUUAUUAUUAUUAUCAGUACGGUCCACCGGUUAUAGUAUCAUGAAAUUGUUUUAUCUGUACAUUGUGAUCUAGAAUGGAGACUUGUAUUUGAAACUCUGUUGUGUCUGUUUUGGCCUUCUGUCCAUUAAAUGGCAUUAUAUUAUAUCUGAUUUUCUUCUCAUGGAAAGCUUAAGAAUUUGAUGGGAUGAUAUCUUUUUCCUUUUCCUUUACAACUGGAAUGCUAGUUCUUAAGGUUCAUAUGGUCCAGCUAUGAAGAUGCAAAGAAGAGUGGUUUUGGUAAAAAAAAAAAAUGGCGAGC